GGGCGUGUAGCUCAGUUGGUAGAGCGGUCGUCUUAUACACGAUUGGUCCCAGGUUCGAGUCCUGGCACGCCCA
rnacentral:tRNA from 1 species